CUGCCUUCCACAGCCUCUCGAGGUUAGGAAGUCAAGUCCAACCCAAGAGAAGAGACAUCUUGAUGCCUGAGCUCACAGGUAAAGAACCAAGAGCAGGAGAUGUGAGUGACGUGGGAACACUAUUGAUGGAUGUGGUCUAGCCUGGGUUUGGAGCCAGGGAGUCUGUCCUCUCGUGCUGCCACCUCACUCCAGGGGUAGUGGAGACCACAGAAUCUGAUAUUUUUGCAGGCUAGAGCAGGGCAGGGCCCUUCCUGGGUCAGUGUUCCUGCAACAGGAGCACACCAUUACAAGGCGGAGAGCCGGAAGCAGGCAAGCAUCAUCUUUCGGAAGAGUAGCUUUGUGAAGGAGUGCUGUUGGCACACAUGCUUUCCAGCCCUGUCCGGGAACAUCCAGAGCGUACAAAGGUGAUACCGGGUAGGGGGUUAGAGCUGGACAGGUUAUACCAGAACAGAGCCACUGCCCUGGGUGUAUCCAUGGGCAGCCUAGCAAUUGUGAGUACCUGGUUCAGUGACAGACUCUGUCUUGAAAGAUAGUAGAAGUCAGCAGACAUGGAUCUCUGCCACACACAUACACACACACACACACACACACACACGAAGUAAAAUUUGAAAUGUAUGAAAAUUUAUGGUGAAGAAUGAAUCUCCUACCCACUGUUGUCUCUUCCUUCCAGUUCCAGAGUCCAUAGAAAGCCACCAUUUUCAUUUGUUGUUUUUUUUUUAUUUAUUUUUAUUGUAGAUUCUUAUGCAAUAAUUCCUGACCAUUUUUUCCUCCCUCCACUCCCGCUUGUGUUUGAUGAUGCAAAACUGCAAGGCAGAACCAAGAAACACCCUCGGGAAAACAAAACCCUGUGGGUCCUGUGGAUUGAAUCAAAAGUUUCCCAAGUGGUGGAAGGAACUGGCUUGAAGUCGUAUGCCUGGGGAUCUCCCUGCGGCUCCCACUCCAUCACCUGCCAGCAGAGAGAAGACACCAGAUAUGCUCUUAAAAGAGAUGUCACUAACACGACACAGCACAGUUUCACAUUCCUACUCUCCCCUUGAAUGUGUCACCCGUCAGAUACUACUGCAUGCAAAACACACAGUCCACAAGGCAGGUGACGUCACUGUCUCCACUGUACGUAUGUGGGAAUAAAGGUGGAACCAGGUUAAAUACUAUUCCCCAGUCUGCACCAAGUAGCAGAGCAGAGGUUUUAAUCUGAAGAGCUGACACCAGGGACCCCAUUGUUACCUAGUGUGGGGGUACACAACCUCCCAGCAGCCCUGGAGGCCAAGCAACAUCACCCCACCUUCCAUUGGUCCUGAUGAUGGGAAGCCCAGAGGACGGCCCCGGGAGCAGAGGCAGCUCAAAGGCAGUUUUCUGCACAGCAUCAGAGCAUGUCUUCCUU
rnacentral:lncRNA from 1 species